rnacentral:rRNA from 1 species
AGUCGAACGGUAACGCGGGGCAACCUGGCGACGAGUGGCGAACGGGUGAGUAAUAUAUCGGAACGUGCCCAGUAGUGGGGGAUAGCCCGGCGAAAGCCGGAUUAAUACCGCAUACGACCUAAGGGUGAAAGCGGGGGAUCGCAAGACCUCGCGCUAUUGGAGCGGCCGAUAUCAGAUUAGGUAGUUGGUGGGGUAAAAGCCUACCAAGCCAACGAUCUGUAGCUGGUCUGAGAGGACGACCAGCCACACUGGGACUGAGACACGGCCCAGACUCCUACGGGAGGCAGCAGUGGGGAAUUUUGGACAAUGGGCGCAAGCCUGAUCCAGCCAUGCCGCGUGCGGGAAGAAGGCCUUCGGGUUGUAAACCGCUUUUGUCAGGGAAGAAACGCUCUGGGCUAAUACCCUGGGGUAAUGACGGUACCUGAAGAAUAAGCACCGGCUAACUACGUGCCAGCAGCCGCGGUAAUACGUAGGGUGCAAGCGUUAAUCGGAAUUACUGGGCGUAAAGCGUGCGCAGGCGGUUCUGCAAGACAGAUGUGAAAUCCCCGGGCUCAACCUGGGAACUGCAUUUGUGACUGCAUAGCUAGAGUACGGUAGAGGGGGAUGGAAUUCCGCGUGUAGCAGUGAAAUGCGUAGAUAUGCGGAGGAACACCGAUGGCGAAGGCAAUCCCCUGGACCUGUACUGACGCUCAUGCACGAAAGCGUGGGGAGCAAACAGGAUUAGAUA